CUAACACUUCCGCUCCAGCUAUUUUCAGCCACAUGGACAUCGUCAUCGAACAUAUUCUGCCAGUUUCCCAAAGUUUUUCUCUGUCGGAGUAUACCUUCAAACCGGUUUCAGCACCUGCUGACAGAUUACACCGGCGAGCUGCGAAUAUACUCCAAGAAACGAAAUCAUCAACCUAUCACCCAACAUAGAGGACAUCAAAACCAGAUGGCCUGCUCUAUUUGAGCCCUCUCAAAUCCAGGAUGAGUUUCACAGAAUCACAAUGGUGCAUCUUGAAUCAAAGUUCAUGUCUAAGCUGGAUGAAUACACUCCGAGGCUUCUGAACAUCUUCCACUCCAAAGGUGGAACCAUGGGGUUGAGGUUGCAGGCCAUCCUAC